AUUGAACGCUGGCGGCAUGCCUUACACAUGCAAGUCGAACGGCAGCACGGGGGCAACCCUGGUGGCGAGUGGCGAACGGGUGAGUAAUACAUCGGAAUGUACCCAGUAGUGGGGGAUAACUAGUCGAAAGAUUAGCUAAUACCGCAUACGCACUAUGGUGGAAAGCGGGGGAUCGCAAGACCUCGCGCUAUUGGAGCAGCCGAUGUCCGAUUAGGUAGUUGGUGGGGUAAAAGCCUACCAAGCCUGCGAUCGGUAACUGGUCUGAGAGGACGACCAGUCACACUGGGACUGAGACACGGCCCAGACUCCUACGGGAGGCUG
rnacentral:rRNA from 1 species